CAGAAGAUCAAGUAGAAGUGAAAACAGAGAGAGGGCUCUCCAAGGUUCCUUGAUGAAAACUAAAGCCCACUGGAAAAGUGAAAAUUACUGCAAUAAAGGCACACCAGACCACUGUAGUUGGGCUCCUGCAAGUUCCUGAUUUGCACUGUGCUCUGCUGUCACCUGCUGGUCAUCCAAGAAAAGACAGACGUAUACCGCCCCACAUGGUCAGUACUGGAAACCCAGCAAGAUGCCAAUAAGCUAUGAACGCUUAGUUCCUGAAUAAAUUCUCAUCAGCUGCUCGGAUUUAACCUUCAGUCACCUUAUGACCCAAGCCCUCUCCUAGGGAGGCAGAUCCAGGGGCCACCAAUGGAGAGGAAAGUGAACACCCAGUAGUGGAGCUGUACAAACUGAUUAAAGAAGAGACAAAGAAAGUUGGCGAGUACAAAGAAAGCAUAAGCCAAAAAUAAUGGAACUACCAUAGGAAAUGACCAGUAUGGACAUGGGAGAAGAAAGAAAAUAUUGAAAGAGCUGACCAAAGAAGUUCAAAACAUGAGUGACAAAUUGAUCAAAGAUCGAGACUCCACAAAAAAGGUGUCAGAGA
ensembl:lncRNA